UGAUUCGACGCGUUCCACCUUUUAUAAGCUAGUAUCUCCUAGUACAUAUUCAGGGAAUCUGGUGCAACUCCAGAGCUGGCCCGCAACUGUAACCGGGGAGUCUACCUCAUAGGUCACGGCGUCUUUGACGCUGGAAGGCGAGGAUAGAUGCUGAUUCGGAAGUCAGGAUACCUGAUAUGGAUAGAAACUGUAG
rfam:Ferrithrix thermotolerans DSM 19514 genome assembly, contig: EJ54DRAFT_scaffold00017.17